UAACAAUGCUAAAACUAAUUCUCAACCACUCAAACAAUUUAAAUAAUAAAAUCUAAUUCCCAAAUGAACAUAACUUUUCAUAUUGCUUACCCCACGAUAAGGCUAUUCAACCAAGUCUAUAGGGACCAGAGGUGCACCUAAUGAUGUCCCGUAAAACAAUGAUAACGUUGUUACAAAUUUCUCACUCUUCUCAAUCCUGAAUGGCUCAGGAAUUGCCGGCUGCUGCCACCGCCCCUGCUCUGUUUCACCAACCAAACAAAACUGGCUCCACCCACUAUCAAGUUUCACCGCC
rnacentral:misc_RNA from 1 species